UACAGAGGCCUCGAGCGUUAGGCGGAAUCACUGGGCUUAAAGCGUGUGUAGGCGGACUUCUAAGUACCUUGUGAAGUCCCACGGCUCACCCGUGGAACUGCUUGGUAUACUGGUUGUCUUGAGCCUUCUAGGGGCGAGUGGAACAAAUGGUGGAGCGGUGAAAUGCGUAGAUAUCAUUUGGAACGCCAAUGGUGAAAACAACUCGCUGGGGAAGUGCUGACGCUGAGACACGAAAGCCAGGGGAGCGAACGGG
rnacentral:rRNA from 1 species